GACGAACGCUGGCGGCGUGCUUAACACAUGCAAGUCGAACGGAAAGGCCCUGCUUUUGUGGGGUGCUCGAGUGGCGAACGGGUGAGUAACACGUGAGUAACCUGCCCUUGACUUUGGGAUAACUUCAGGAAACUGGGGCUAAUACCGGAUAGGAGCUCCUGCUGCAUGGUGGGGGUUGGAAAGUUUCGGCGGUUGGGGAUGGACUCGCGGCUUAUCAGCUUGUUGGUGGGGUAGUGGCUUACCAAGGCUUUGACGGGUAGCCGGCCUGAGAGGGUGACCGGCCACAUUGGGACUGAGAUACGGCUCAGACUCCUACGGGAGGCAGCAGUGGGGAAUAUUGCACAAUGGGCGGAAGCCUGAUGCAGCAACGCCGCGUGCGGGAUGACGGCCUUCGGGUUGUAAACCGCUUUCGCCUGUGACGAAGCGUGAGUGACGGUAAUGGGUAAAGAAGCACCGGCUAACUACGU
rnacentral:rRNA from 1 species